rnacentral:rRNA from 1 species
AUUAAGUUUAAUUUAAUAUAGGAUCUGCUCAAUGAUUUAUUAAAUAGCUGCAGUAUUUUGACUGUGCAAAGGUAGCAUAAUAAUUAGUCUUUUAAUUGAGGACUUGUAUGAAAGAUUUGAUGAGAAAUAAACUUUAUUGUUUAUAUAGUUAAAAUUUUAUUUUUAAGUAAAAAAGCUUAAAUUUUUUAAAGGGACGAUAAGACCCUAUAAAACUUUAUAAGUAUUAUUAUUAAUUUUUUUGGAAUUAUUAUAUGUAUAUUAUUAUUAAUAUUUAUUUUAUUGGGGUGAUAAAAAAAAUUGAUUAACUUUUUUUAAAAUUUUACAUUAUUUAAUGGAUAUUUGAAUUAAAAUUUUUAAUUAAAGGAAAAAGUUACUUUAGGGAUAACAGCGUAAUUAAUUUUUUAAGUUCAAAUUUAAAAAUUAGUUUGCGACCUCGAUGUUGAAUUAAGAUAAAUCUUAGGUGCAAAAUUUUAAGUAUUAGGUCUGUUCGACCUUUAAAUUCUUACGUGA